GCAUUGCUGAAGAGUUCUACAAUGGGACGAAACGGACGUCCAAUAC
rnacentral:hammerhead_ribozyme from 1 species